ACGCACACUGGCGGCAUGCCUAACACAUGCCAGUCGCACGAGACCUUCGGGUCUAGUGGCGCACGGGUGCGUAACGCGUGGGAACCUGCCCUUAGGUUCGGAAUAACUCCCCGAAAGGGGUGCUAAUACCGGAUAAUGUCUUCGGACCAAAGAUUUAUCGCCUUUGGAUGGGCCCGCGUUGGAUUAGCUAGUUGGUAGGGUAAAAGCCUACCAAGGCGACGAUCCAUAGCUGGUCUGAGAGGAUGAUCAGCCACACUGGGACUGAGACACGGCCCAGACUCCUACGGGAGGCAGCAGUGGGGAAUAUUGGACAAUGGGCGAAAGCCUGAUCCAGCAAUGCCGCGUGAGUGAUGAAGGCCUUAGGGUUGUAAAGCUCUUUUACCCGGGAUGAUAAUGACAGUACCGGGAGAAUAAGCUCCGGCUAACUCCGU
rnacentral:rRNA from 1 species